GAUCCAGGGAGCAGGAUGACAGGGCAGAAAAAGACAGGAAAGGAGGAAAAGCUUUCAUAAGUGCACAAUUAGAUUUACUGCUCUAGAUAGUGGGGCCUCCAUGCAUCAGAACCUCUGAAAAUGAACUCCCCUCACUUUCUGAUAGGUUUGAAUGGGGGCUGACCCCACUAGCACACAAAAAGUCUGAACUCACAGGCAACUUUGCAUUGCGGCUGCAGCUCAUGUCAGAGUCUGCUCAGCCUGGUUAAGAACUCUUUUUGGAGAACUGGUGGAGUCAUUUGGAGGACAUAAGACACUCUGGCCAAUUCUGGAGGCUGGGAAGUCCAAGACCGAGCUGCCAGCAUUUUGUGGUCAGGUGAGAGCCGUCUUAUUUUGUUCAACAGCAGGAACAAAUGUUGUAUCCUCACAUAUUGAACAUGGAAGAGCAAGAGAGCUAAAUAUGGAGUUAAACUUCUUUUAUAAGGGUCUCAAUCACAUUUGCAAGGGGGCAGUUCACAUGGCCUAAUCAUGUCUUAAAGCCUUCACCUCUUAAUAUUAUCACAUUGGCAGCACCUGAAUUUCGAAGGGGGACAUAUUCAAACCAUAGCACAUACCUAGAGAUGUAUACGAUUGCUGAUACUAGUAGGUAACUAUAAAAAGAUGUGACUAUGAAAUUUAAAAAUAUGUGACUAGAUAUAACUUUAUAAAAGAUGUGACUAUUAAAACUCUUAAUAAAAAGAUGUGAUUUUUUCAUGCAUGAACU
rnacentral:lncRNA from 10 species